rnacentral:snoRNA from 1 species
GGAAAAAUGAUGAAAACUUUGUUAUCUGAAAUUGAUGUGGAAAUUACAUUCAUCCUGGUCUUCAAAGUUCUCUGAUUGCU